UCAAUUAUUUAUAGCCUYUGKCUAUAGGAAAUUGUUAGUGGCAGACGGGUGAGUAAUGCGUAGGAAUCUACCUAGUAGUACGGAAUAGCCAUUAGAAAUGGUGGGUAAUMCUGUAUAAUCCCCGAGGGGGAAAGAUUUAUCGCUAUUAGAUGAGCCUACGUUAGAUUAGCUAGUUGGUGAGGUAAUGGCUUACCAAGGCUAUGAUCUAUAGCUGGUCUGAGAGGACGAUCASCCACACUGGAACUGAGAUACGGUCCAGACUCCUACGGGA
rnacentral:rRNA from 1 species